rnacentral:lncRNA from 1 species
AGAAAGCUGAGGCCAUAUUUCCAAGCCCACUCAAUACAAGUUCUCACCAAUUUCCCUUUAAAGCAGGUAAUGCAGAAAACAGACGCGUCAGGACGCCUGCUGAAAUGGGCCAUCGAGCUCGAUGAGUUCGAUCUAACGUUCCGACCUAGACACGCCGUCAAGGGCCAGGCCCUUGCUGAUUUUAUAGUUGAAUUUACCAAAGCCCCAGAAAUGGAGGCGAUAAUGGAGCCAGCCGAGCCCCCCACAUGGAAACUAUUUGUAGAUGGGUCCUCAGGAGAUGCUGGCGCGGGGGCAGGGAUCGUGUUGGAGAGUCCGGAAGGCCAUAGGCUAAAUUGUGCGAUAAGGUUCGGCUUUAAAGCCUCGAACAACGUAGUCAAAUACGAGGCCAUUCUCGCAUGUCUAAGGCUCGCUAAGGAAAUGCGGGUCAGGAAGCUCCUAGCGAGUAGUGACUCUCAGCUCAUAGUAAAUCAGGUAAAUGGGAAUUUCGCAGCCAAAGAUGGUAACAUGCUUGCGUACUUGAAGUUGGUUCUGAGCAUAAUUCCCCAUUUUGAAAGGUUCGAACUGACUCAAGUCCCCCGUCUAGAAAAUGCACAUGCAGAUGCCCUCUCAAAAUUAGCCAACAGCAUGGACUCAGAGCUGCGAAACAUCGUCCCCAUUGAGCACUUAUCAAAGCCCUCCACCUCCGAAGGCGAAGAGGUACUGUGGAUAAAAG